UUCGUCAGAGAAAGACAGACAGACAGGUUGCCUGCUGCUUCCGGUCAACUUUCUUCUUCGACUAGCCAGCAACGACAGAACAGCGCGCGCGCACACACGAGAUCCCCGCACUUCCUGGUUCACGCUCAACCCGCCCCACAUAGCUGGCCAAACACAUGCCUGAAACAGCGUUGAACACUUCAAAAAAUUAACCCGGAUUUUGUAUCCACUUCGCGGGAGCGCGCACGCUCAGUUAAAACCGAAAAUAUGUGACGCUGCGGGUUUUUUUCGCCACAGGACUUCAGAUUAACGAAGAUAUUAUACCUUUUGUCUGCUUUAUCAGUUACUAUGAGAUACCUAAAGCACACAGUAUAUGAAAACUUCGAUUUAUUGGCUUGGUAUUUGUUUGGUAUGUCAAGCAUUUGACGCAUGCGUAUCCAGGAAUACGGUAUUUCUGCAUAACUAAUGACAAAUAUGACCAAACCAACCAAACCACAAGGAAGAGUUGUUAACAGACAGUGAAUGAGGCAUGAUGCAACAGUCGAUCUCACCCGUUUGACAUACUUUGGACUGUAAAAUGAAAAAUAAAAGUGUUGAACUUGG